CUCAUUAUUAACUAUGGUUUUGAUGACGUCAAAGAUGGGUUAGCCUUUUCAAUUCGAAAUUUAAAAUAGCAACCAAGUUCUAGUGUUUGCAUGGUUCAUAUUAAUCACUGGCAGACUGGCUGUCAAGUUAAAGUCUGCGUGACCUCACCAACACUCAAAUCCUGAAUAAUCCAAGAUGGCGGACAGCCGACUGUUUUCAAUCAAUAUUUUUAAGGAAUUAAGCUAUGAAAAACCCGUAAAAUGUAUUUAUUAAUUUUUUAAAAGUUCUUUCAAAUGAGUCAAAAUAAAUGUUUACUGACAAUGGAUUAAUAAGACAUGAUUAAAUCCCAGUUUCUCCCUGAUUUGCGUAUCCAUUUUGAAGUACUUAAUUAAUUAGAUGACCAUAUAAAUGAUCAUCAUUUACUUCCUCAGGACCAGGUCUUUUGAGAGCUGUAUACGUCGACUGUUCAUCAUCUACUUGUUCACAAUUGUUGAGAGGAAUAUCAUAAAUGUGUCUUGAAUGACUUUCAUUAUUAAUGGUUACCACGUUUGCUUUAGUGUUUGAUAAUUUGAGUCGACGAUUUUGGUAGAUAAAAUAAGCAGUAACAACGAAUGAACUGACCAGUAGAAUUGCUAACACUAUAAUUCCAAUAAGAUAUUUUUCAGAACCAUCAUCGUUUUCGGCCGUGCCUGAACCUUG